UUAGCUUUAGACAUAAUAGAUACACCACCAAUACCAUCCAGUGGCAUUUCAACAGAUGGGUCACCAUUAGGAUCACGAAGGUAAGCCAAAUGAGGGCGCCAGGUAGCAUACUCUGCGUAUCCUUCUACAAUAACGUCGUCUUCGCCCAAAGUAUCUGCAAGCUGAAGAGCAGUCUCAGAUUCAGCCCAUGAAUUUAAAUCAUAUGGUUGCUCAUUGCCCAACCAAUCUGGUAAGGGUCUAUAAACGUUAGGAACAAUAAUGUCUUUAUCAUGGCGCAUAAGAUCCUCCAAAAUAGUGUUUGGAGCAGUCUCCACGUCAACAUCUCUCCAGUAAACCCAAGAAUGGUAAGGCUGUAUAGCGGCUGACAAAAGCCAAUUACGAGCACGAGCCAUUAAUUUCCUUCGGGGACCUUGUGCCGCAAAUCCAUGACGGUCACUGAAUUCUUGACCGAAAAUAGCACCGAAGUCCUUUAGCAUGAUAAGGACAUUGUUAAAAUGCUUAGAUUCGUCCUCGUCAUUUUGAAUAGCGUCUAAAUGUUGCUUCAAAACCUCGAGAGUAUUAUCAUCAGUG